rnacentral:rRNA from 1 species
GACGAACGCUGGCGGCGUGCCUAAUACAUGCAAGUCGAACGAACUCUGGUAUUGAUUGGUGCUUGCAUCAUGAUUUACAUUUGAGUGAGUGGCGAACUGGUGAGUAACACGUGGGAAACCUGCCCAGAAGCGGGGGAUAACACCUGGAAACAGAUGCUAAUACCGCAUAACAACUUGGACCGCAUGGUCCGAGUUUGAAAGAUGGCUUCGGCUAUCACUUUUGGAUGGUCCCGCGGCGUAUUAGCUAGAUGGUGGGGUAACGGCUCACCAUGGCAAUGAUACGUAGCCGACCUGAGAGGGUAAUCGGCCACAUUGGGACUGAGACACGGCCCAAACUCCUACGGGAGGCAGCAGUAGGGAAUCUUCCACAAUGGACGAAAGUCUGAUGGAGCAACGCCGCGUGAGUGAAGAAGGGUUUCGGCUCGUAAAACUCUGUUGUUAAAGAAGAACAUAUCUGAGAGUAACUGUUCAGGUAUUGACGGUAUUUAACCAGAAAGCCACGGCUAACUACGUGCCAGCAGCCGCGGUAAUACGUAGGUGGCAAGCGUUGUCCGGAUUUAUUGGGCGUAAAGCGAGCGCAGGCGGUUUUUUAAGUCUGAUGUGAAAGCCUUCGGCUCAACCGAAGAAGUGCAUCGGAAACUGGGAAACUUGAGUGCAGAAGAGGACAGUGGAACUCCAUGUGUAGCGGUGAAAUGCGUAGAUAUAUGGAAGAACACCAGUGGCGAAGGCGGCUGUCUGGUCUGUAACUGACGCUGAGGCUCGAAAGUAUGGGUAGCAAACAGGAUUAGAUACCCUGGUAGUCCAUACCGUAAACGAUGAAUGCUAAGUGUUGGAGGGUUUCCGCCCUUCAGUGCUGCAGCUAACGCAUUAAGCAUUCCGCCUGGGGAGUACGGCCGCAAGGCUGAAACUCAAAGGAAUUGACGGGGGCCCGCACAAGCGGUGGAGCAUGUGGUUUAAUUCGAAGCUACGCGAAGAACCUUACCAGGUCUUGACAUACUAUGCAAAUCUAAGAGAUUAGACGUUCCCUUCGGGGACAUGGAUACAGGUGGUGCAUGGUUGUCGUCAGCUCGUGUCGUGAGAUGUUGGGUUAAGUCCCGCAACGAGCGCAACCCUUAUUAUCAGUUGCCAGCAUUAAGUUGGGCACUCUGGUGAGACUGCCGGUGACAAACCGGAGGAAGGUGGGGAUGACGUCAAAUCAUCAUGCCCCUUAUGACCUGGGCUACACACGUGCUACAAUGGAUGGUACAACGAGUUGCGAACUCGCGAGAGUAAGCUAAUCUCUUAAAGCCAUUCUCAGUUCGGAUUGUAGGCUGCAACUCGCCUACAUGAAGUCGGAAUCGCUAGUAAUCGCGGAUCAGCAUGCCGCGGUGAAUACGUUCCCGGGCCUUGUACACACCGCCCGUCACACCAUGAGAGUUUGUAACACCCAAAGUCGGUGG